ACUGGGACUGAGACACGGCCCAGACUCCUACGGGAGGCAGCAGUGGGGAAUUUUGGACAAUGGGCGCAAGCCUGAUCCAGCCAUGCCGCGUGUCUGAAGAAGGCCUUCGGGUUGUAAAGGACUUUUGUCAGGGAAGAAAAGGCUGUUGCUAAUACCGACAGCUGAUGACGGUACCUGAAGAAUAAGCACCGGCUAACUACGUGCCAGCAGCCGCGGUAAUACGUAGGGUGCGAGCGUUAAUCGGAAUUACUGGGCGUAAAGCGAGCGCAGACGGUUACUUAAGCAGGAUGUGAAAUCCCCGGGCUCAACCUGGGAACUGCGUUCUGAACUGGGUGACUAGAGUGUGUCAGAGGGAGGUAGAAUUCCACGUGUAGCAGUGAAAUGCGUAGAGAUGUGGAGGAAUACCGAUGGCGAAGGCAGCCUCCUGGGAUAACACUGACGUUCAUGCUCGAAAGCGUGGGUAGCAAACAGGAUUAGAUACCCUGGUAGUCCACGCCCUAAACGAUGUCAAUUAGCUGUUGGGCAACUUGAUUGCUUAGUAGCGUAGCUAACGCGUGAAAUUGACCGCCUGGGGAGUACGGUCGCAAGAUUAAAACUCAAAGGAAUUGACGGGGACCCGCACAAGCGGUGGAUGAUGUGGAUUAAUUCGAUGCAACGCGAAGAACCUUACCUGGUCUUGACAUGUACGGAAUCCUCCAGAGACGGAGGAGUGCCUUCGGGAACCGUAACACAGGUGCUGCAUGGCUGUCGUCAGCUCGUGUCGUGAGAUGUUGGGUUAAGUCCCGCAACGAGCGCAACCCUUGUCAUUAGUUGCCAUCAUUUAGUUGGGCACUCUAAUGAGACUGCCGGUGACAAGCCGGAGGAAGGUGGGGAUGACGUCAAGUCCUCAUGGCCCUUAUGACCAGGGCUUCACACGUCAUACAAUGGUCGGUACAGAGGGUAGCCAAGCCGCGAGGUGGAGCCAAUCUCACAAAACCGAUCGUAGUCCGGAUUGCACUCUGCAACUCGAGUGCAUGAAGUCGGAAUCGCUAGUAAUCGCAGGUCAGCAUACUGCGGUGAAUACGUUCCCGGGUCUUGUACACACCGCCCGUCACACCAUGGGAGUGGGGGAUACCAGAAGUAGGUAGGGUAACCGCAAGGAGCCCGCUUACCACGGUAUGCUUCAUGACUGGGGUGAAGUCGUAACAAGGUAGCCGUAGGGGAACCUGCGGCUG
rnacentral:rRNA from 1 species